UCACCGCAGAAAAACACCUUCAACAGUCACCGAGCCUCAAUCACCUACUUACUCCCUUCACAGUGCUUUUCACCACACAUCCAACGAGUCAGGGCAAAAAACAAUCUCAUUAAUACUUUCCUACCUUUUCUUACAGAAAUUUACAGUCGUACGCUUUUAGCUCUUUAAUUCAUUCUGACUUCAUUGCUGUAUAUGGUGAACAGUAACACCCAAACCUGCGUGCUUAUCCAGUUCUCCCAUCGUCAUUGGCCCAAGAGACUGUCCCCCUCACUCCCACGGUGUCAAGAUCCUGUGACCACAGACCACAAGCUACUUCAAGAGGAACAUGGGCAUCGAAGACGCUCCUUAUGGAGUUCGCUGGCCAUUUGGGCAAGAAACUGCUCUUUCCUGGACUGCAUAACUGGACAUGCAGGACCCACAGAGAAAUGACUGCUGAACUUGCCUAAGGGACUGGAAAAACUGGACUGAAUGCUGGGAGGAAGAAGAGUCAGAGAGACGCCAUGGAGCCAACAGAGUCAGCCAUACCUACUCUUUCCCGGACCUCCAGGCCAGGGGUGACACCACCCACAAUGAACUGGACCUUACAUCAUUAAUUAGGAAAAUGUCCUACAGGCGUGCCU